rnacentral:misc_RNA from 1 species
GUGAAUCAUCGAAUUUUUAAACGCAUAUUGCACUCGCUGGUAUUCCGGAGAGUAUGCCUGUUUGAGGGUAAUUAAAAAGAAUAUGUAACGAAUUUUGUUGGGACAAAGGAAAAGAGGUCUCCGCGAAUAUAGUGGGAGGUUGAAAUAAAUGGUCAAGGCGCAUUAUAGAUGAGACGCGUAAUAAUAUUAUUUCGCGAAAUCGUUAUUAUGUGACUAUCAAGUUUUGAUGCAUACAAAUUUGGUUUGUAUGCGAGCAAUACAAAAACUUUGAAAAUUACG